rnacentral:rRNA from 1 species
UACGUAGGGGGCAAGCGUUGUCCGGAAUCAUUGGGCGUAAAGAGCGUGUAGGCGGUUUGGUAGGUCCGUUGUGAAAACUCGAGGCUCAACCUCGAGACGCCGAUGGAAACCAUCAGACUAGAGUCCGGAAGAGGAGAGUGGAAUUCCUGGUGUAGCGGUGAAAUGCGCAGAUAUCAGGAGGAACACCGGUGGCGAAGGCGGGUCUCUGGGCCGAUACUGACGCUGAGGAGCGAAAGCGUGGGGGAGCAAACAGG